GCCGGGCGUGGUGGUGCACGCCUGUCAUCCCAGUGGCUCAGGAGGCUGAGGCGGGAGGAUCACGUGUUCAAAGCCAGCCUCAGCAACUUAGCAAGGCCCUGAGCAACUCAGGGAGACCCUGUCUCUA
rnacentral:sRNA from 1 species